rnacentral:rRNA from 1 species
GACGAACGCUGGCGGCGUGCCUAAUACAUGCAAGUCGAGCGGACCUUCAUUAGCUUGCUUUUGAAGAUCAGCGGCGGACGGGUGAGUAACACGUGGGCAACCUGCCUGUAAGACUGGGAUAACUUCGGGAAACCGGAGCUAAUACCGGAUAAUCCUUUUCCUCUCAUGAGGAAAAGCUGAAAGACGGUUUCGGCUGUCACUUACAGAUGGGCCCGCGGCGCAUUAGCUAGUUGGUGAGGUAACGGCUCACCAAGGCGACGAUGCGUAGCCGACCUGAGAGGGUGAUCGGCCACACUGGGACUGAGACACGGCCCAGACUCCUACGGGAGGCAGCAGUAGGGAAUCUUCCGCAAUGGACGAAAGUCUGACGGAGCAACGCCGCGUGAGCGAUGAAGGCCUUCGGGUCGUAAAGCUCUGUUGUCAGGGAAGAACAAGUACCGGAGUAACUGCCGGUACCUUGACGGUACCUGACCAGAAAGCCACGGCUAACUACGUGCCAGCCGCCGCCGUAACAC